UUUGCAAUAUCACAGAUGUGAACUGGACUGGAUAAAAAGAUACUGAAAUAGUUUAAAACAUUGAAAGCAGAUAUAAAGGAGGAAUUCAUGACUUUUCAUCUUAUAUCUUUUCAUUUUGGAAUCAAAGGAAAAGCAGGAUGGGUGUCGGACGGAUCAUAUCAAUUUUCCUGAUUAUAAUAGCUACAGCAACAACACCAACAACAUCAACAACAACAAUAGCAAC